AUGCAUGUCUAGGUUCAAGUGGCCUUUAAAGGUGCAACCGCGAACGGCUCAUUAUAACAGCUAUUAUAUACUUGAUCUUGAUGUCCUACGUGGAUAACUGUGGCAACUCUAGAGCUGAUACAUGCAGCAAAGCUCCGAUUUUCUGACGAGCGCAUCUAUUAGAUUAAAACCAAUCGGGUUUCGGCCCGUCAAUUGGUUACCCGAAUAACUGUAGCUGAUUGCAUGGUCCAGAACCGGCAAAGUGUCUAUCGAGUGUCUGCCUUAUCAACUGUCGAUGGUAGUUUAUGUGCCUACCAUGGUUGACUGAACGUCAACCACCUAUGCGACCCGUCUUGAAACACGGACCAAGGAGUCUAGCA
rfam:Toxocara canis scaffold1199, whole genome shotgun sequence.